CGUAUAAAAGCUGAAAGUGUACAAAAAAAAUCAGUUUUAUAAAAAAAACAUGCAGACACACACCUGCAAACAAUGCUCUUUAUAAAUCACACUCUAGAAUUGUGCACACCUGGAUCAGCCACAUAUUCCACCCUCUAAACGACCAAAUUCAGCCAUAAAUAGUAAAGGUCUCAGCCAU